GGGGAUUUGGCUCAGUGGUAGAGCGCUUGCCUAGCAAGCACAAGGCCCUGGGUUCGGCCCCCAGCUCCG
rnacentral:tRNA from 1 species